rnacentral:tRNA from 1 species
GGGGUGGAUGGGGCCCGGUGGCUCCUGCGGACUUCAAAUCCGUUGUGCCUGAUGAAAAAUUGGGUUGGUGGGUUCGACUCCCUCGCAUCC